rnacentral:lncRNA from 1 species
UUGAUCAUAAAAAAAAAAUGCAGUACUUUUAGAAGGUAAAGCUAGUAAGUUUACAGAAGUGUAAAACACCAAAACACUUUAAGCAAAAACUCUUUGUUUUUAAGAAAAAGGUAUGACUUCUCGUUUUCUGUUCUUGGCAUAAAUUUUAAUUCUUUCCGGUAGAGCCAAAACCUCCUGAUCCCCUUUUGGUGUCAUCCAAAGCUUGAACUUCUUCUAUUUCUGGAUUAAAAAAUCCGUUCACAAAUGAGCUGUGCAAUUCGAUCACCUUUUUUUGACUUCAAACUUUUCUUUGCAAAAAUUAAAGAGUACAACACCAACAUUUCCUCUAUAAUCUUCAUCUGUGAUACCAGCUCCUACAUCAACAAAGUGUUUUGCAGCCAAGCCAGACCUUGGAGCUACUCUCCAUAACAUCCAGAAGGAAGCGCUGUCUGAAUGUCCGUUUUCACAAGAGCCUUCUCCAUAGGUGGUGGUGUGUAAUCACAGGCACUGUACAGAUCGUAGCCCGCGUGCCCGGAGAGCCAGGCAACGCGGAGCUGCAUGCCGCCCUCCUCCGCGGGCUGGGCCCGCUGGCUGGGUGAAACGGCGGGUCACCUCCGGACGCGCGCCAGGCUUCCACCCUGAAGACGCGCGCG